rnacentral:misc_RNA from 1 species
GUCAAGUUGUUGAUCCUGUUGAAUCACUGAUGAGGCUUCUCUGAGUUUUUCAAGGAGCAACUCAAGAAUCUCUCACGGCAUUCAUCCACUACAGGAAAAUUACAGGAACCAAAGAAGCUAGUUGGGUUGAAGGAUCGGUGGGAAAGAAAUAAAAUCAGCCUCACAGCAAUGGCAAUAGUUAUCACUCCUACGCUACUUGUCUCCACCACAGUUCCAGAUGCCUUCUCUGCUGCUACAGAUAUUGCUGGAGGAUACUGCAUGACAAUGCUGUAUGGAAUUCUUCCACCAGCAAUGGCGUGGGCAAUGUGUGACCGAGAAAGGGAGGAUACCGAUGAAAAGAUGCCGUCAAGAGCAAGGCCUGCACUUGUUGGGGUAGGCAUUUUUGCUUGUGGAAUAGUGGUGGAGAAAAUAUUGCAGGAUUUCUCAGCUCUGCACCUCUAACAAGGAUAUCCAAAAUCAUUUGACUCCAUAUUAUUAAAUACAUAUUACAGGAUUUCUUAGGAAAUGCCUUAUCUAUAGUCUUAUGAAUUUGUAUAUGUCAUUGAUUUUCG